UGAAUACGAGAUGCUACGGCGUCGAAGCAGUCUAUGUCAUACUUCCAAGAAAAGCUUGCACUGUCAUAAACAAAUAAUGCCUGUACCAUAACCGACACAGGUGGGUAGGUAGAGUAUACUAAGGGGCGCGAGAUAACUCUCUCUAAGGAACUCGGCAAAAUGACUCCGUAACUUCGGGAGAAGGAGUGCCUUAUUUAUAAGGUUGCAAUAACAAGAUCCAAGCAACUGUUUACCAAAAACACAGGUCUCCGCUAAGUCGUAAGACGAUGUAUGGGGGCUGACGCCUGCCCAGUGCCAGAAGGUUAAAGAAGUUGGUUAGCAUCCGCGAAGCUGAUAACUGAAGCCCCGGUGAACGGCGGCCGUAACAAUAACGGUCCUAAGGUAGCGAAAUUCCUUGUCGGGUAAGUUCCGACCCGCACGAAAGGCGUAAUGAUUUGGAUACUGUCUCGGAGAGGGGCUCGGUGAAAUAGACUUGUCUGUGAAGAUGCGGACUACCUGCACUAGGACAGAAAGACCCUAUGAAGCUUUACUGUAACCUGAAAUUGAAAUUGGACUUUACUUGCGCAGUAUAGGUGGGAGGCGUUGAGAAUAUUCUUGCGGGAUUAUUGGAGCCAUCAGUGAGAUACCACUCUUGUAAUGUUAGAUUUCUAACUUUGUAUCAUUAUCUGGUCAAAGAACAGUUUCAGGCGGGCAGUUUGACUGGGGCGGUCGCCUCCUAAACGGUAACGGAGGCGCACAAAGGUUUCCUCUGAACGGGUAGAAAUCGUAUCUAGAGUGUAAAGGCAUAAGGAAGCUUGACUGUGAGACCUACAAGUCGAGCAGGGACGAAAGUCGGUCUUAGUGAUCUGACGGUGCUGAGUGGAAAGGCCGUCACUCAACGGAUAAGAGUUACUCUAGGGUAACAGGCUGAUCUCCCCCAAGAGUUCACAUCGACGGGGAGGUUUGGCACCUCGAUGUCGGCUCAUCGCAUCCUGGGGCGGUAGUACGUCCCAAGGGUUGGGCUGUUCGCCCAUGAAAGCGGUACGCGAGCUGGGUUCAGAACGUCGUGAGACAGUUCGGUCCAUAUCCGGUGUAGGCGUUAGAAUAUUGAGAGGAGCCUUCUUUAGUACGAGAGGACCGAGAAGGACAUACCUCUGGUGUACCAGUUAUCGUGCCAACGGUAAACGCUGGGUAGCUAUGUGUGGAGUGGAUAACCGCUGAAAGCAUCUAAGUGGGAAGCCCACCUCAAGAUAAGUA
rnacentral:rRNA from 1 species